GGGGGUGUAGCUCGGUGGGUAGAGUGCUUGCCUUGCACGCACAGGCCCUGGGUUCCAUCCCCAGCACCCCCA
rnacentral:tRNA from 1 species